CACGUAGGGGGCAAGCGUUGUCCGGAUUUAUUGGGCGUAAAGAGCUCGUAGGCGGCUUGUCACGUCUGCUGUGAAAACUCGGGGCUCAACCCCGAGCCUGCAGUGGAUACGGGCUAGCUAGAGUGCGGUAGGGGAGACUGGAAUUCCUGGUGUAGCGGUGAAAUGCGCAGAUAUCAGGAGGAACACCGGUGGCGAAGGCGGGUCUCUGGACCGAUACUGACGCUGAGGAGCGAAAGCGUGGGGAGCGAACAGG
rnacentral:rRNA from 1 species